CUGAGACCUGAUGCCGAGCCGAUUGUGGUGAAGUGGAUGAUCCUAUGCUGUCGAGAAAAGCCUCUAGCGAGUUUCAUGGCGGCCCGUACCCUAAACCGACUCAGGUGGUCAGGUAGAGAAUACCGAGGCGUUCGGGUGAACUAUGGUUAAGGAACUCGGCAAAAUGCCCCCGUAACUUCGGGAGAAGGGGGGCCAUGUCCGGUGAUGAGCUUCGCGCUCUGAGCUGGGGGUGGCCGCAGAGACCAGCGAGAAGCGACUGUUUACUAAAAACACAGGUCCGUGCGAAGCCGUAAGGCGAUGUAUACGGACUGACGCCUGCCCGGUGCUGGAACGUUAAGGGGACCGGUUAGUCACUCUUCGGGGUGGCGAAGCUGAGAACUUAAGCGCCAGUAAACGGCGGUGGUAACUAUAACCAUCCUAAGGUAGCGAAAUUCCUUGUCGGGUAAGUUCCGACCUGCACGAAUGGCGUAACGACUUCUCGACUGUCUCAACCAUAGGCCCGGUGAAAUUGCACUACGAGUAAAGAUGCUCGUUUCGCGCAGCAGGACGGAAAGACCCCGGGACCUUUACUACAGUUUGAUAUUGGUGUUCGGUUCGGCUUGUGUAGGAUAGCUGGGAGACUGUGAAAGCCAUACGCCAGUAUGGUGGGAGUCGUCGUUGAAAUACCAGUCUGGUCGUGCUGGAUGUCUAACCUGGGUCCGUGAUCCGGAUCAGGGACAGUGUCUGAUGGGUAGUUUAACUGGGGCGGUUGCCUCCUAAAGAGUAACGGAGGCGCCCAAAGGUUCCCUCAGCCUGGUUGGCAAUCAGGUGUUGAGUGUAAGUGCACAAGGGAGCUUGACUGUGAGACCGACGGGUCGAGCAGGGACGAAAGUCGGGACUAGUGAUCCGGCGGUGGCUUGUGGAAGCGCCGUCGCUCAACGGAUAAAAGGUACCCCGGGGAUAACAGGCUGAUCUUCCCCAAGAGUCCAUAUCGACGGGAUGGUUUGGCACCUCGAUGUCGGCUCGUCGCAUCCUGGGGCUGGAGUCGGUCCCAAGGGUUGGGCUGUUCGCCCAUUAAAGCGGUACGCGAGCUGGGUUUAGAACGUCGUGAGACAGUUCGGUCCCUAUCCGCUGUGCGCGUAGGAGUCUUGAGAAGGGCUGUCCCUAGUACGAGAGGACCGGGACGGACGAACCUCUGGUGUGCCAGUUGUCCUGCCAAGGGCAUGGCUGGUUGGCUACGUUCGGGAGGGAUAACCGCUGAAAGCAUCUAAGCGGGAAGCCUGCUUCGAGAUGAGGACUCCCACCUCCUAGAGAGGGUAAGGCUCCCAGUAGACGACUGGGUUGAUAGGCCGGAUAUGGAAGCACGGUAACGUGUGGAGUUGACCGGUACUAAUAGGCCGAGGGCUUGUCCUC
rnacentral:ncRNA from 2 species